GAUGAAGAACGUAGUGAAAUGCGAUAAGUAAUGUGAAUUGCAGAAUUCAGUGAAUCAUCGAAUCUUUGAACGCACAUUGCGCCCGUUAGUAUUCUAGUGGGCAUGCCUGUUCGAGCGUCAUUAAGUCCACUUAAGCCCUGCUUAGUGUUGGGAGACUGCUCCAGCGGUGCUACCCUGUAGCUACCCUGCAGCUCCUCAAAGACAGCGGCGGAGUUGUGGUAUCCUCUGAGCUUAGUAACUUGUUCUAGCUUUCGAGUACACCACUUCCCCUGCCGUAAAACCCUUAAUUUUUAAUGGUUGACCUCGGAUCAGGUAGGAAUACCCGCUGAACUUAAGCAUAUCAAUAAGCGGAGGA
rnacentral:misc_RNA from 1 species